rnacentral:rRNA from 1 species
AUUGAACGCUGGCGGCAGGCCUAACACAUGCAAGUCGAACGGUAACAGGAAGCAGCUUGCUGCUUUGCUGACGAGUGGCGGACGGGUGAGUAAUGUCUGGGAAACUGCCUGAUGGAGGGGGAUAACUACUGGAAACGGUAGCUAAUACCGCAUAACGUCGCAAGACCAAAGAGGGGGACCUUAGGGCCUCUUGCCAUCGGAUGUGCCCAGAUGGGAUUAGCUAGUAGGUGGGGUAACGGCUCACCUAGGCGACGAUCCCUAGCUGGUCUGAGAGGAUGACCAGCCACACUGGAACUGAGACACGGUCCAGACUCCUACGGGAGGCAGCAGUGGGGAAUAUUGCACAAUGGGCGCAAGCCUGAUGCAGCCAUGCCGCGUGUAUGAAGAAGGCCUUCGGGUUGUAAAGUACUUUCAGCGGGGAGGAAGGGAGUAAAGUUAAUACCUUUGCUCAUUGACGUUACCCGCAGAAGAAGCACCGGCUAACUCCAUG